CGAGAAGAAGGUUGGAUAGCCAAAUACACCAAAUACACGACAGAUCAAACAUAUAUUCGUUUUGUGCGUUUUGAUCCAUUCACUCUUCCCUGACUUCCCUGAAGGAAUCGAGCUGCUACUGGCACAGUCUUGCUGACAACAGAAAUGUUACGAAGCUAAUCGGAGCUCGAUCUGUAAUUCACGGAGUUACGCGUCCUCGGAGUCCGCCACUUCUGACGUACGUUUUCCUGAAUCAUCGACGCAUUCACAUCUCUGCCUCUCAAUCUGCUCCUGCUCAGCCCUGCUGCUCGGGAACUUGUCCUUGUUGUUCUCUUUCUUCCACUUCAUUCGCCGGUUCUGAAACCAGAUCUUCACCUGGCGCUCGGUCAGGCAGAGCGCUCGCGACACCUCCACGCGCCGCUUGCGGUUCAGGUUUGAGGUACAGAUUUCAACAUGACCAUCACUGCCCCAGCCCUCUCCCUCCUCCUCUGCAUUGGGCUUGUAUUGAAAAGAGUCUUGGGGCUCUGGACCCUCUACAGGAGAGUCCAUGCUUAGAGGCCAAAAGCAACACAGAAAAAGUGUUCAAUAAAAUAAGUGUUAAGAAUGUUAUGAUGUCUUAUCUCUGACUGAGAAAUUAAAAUACCCUGUUAGAUGUUACAUCCUAACCCUAAAAAUCAGUCAUCAGUCUUAUUAGUUUGACUUGUGUAGUGUAAAUAGGAGCAUAUGUUACUCUUUCCUUUUUUUCACAAGUGGCAGUCAUACAAGCGUGAUCUUGAACAGAGGAAAAUAUAUUGUGUUGCUGUCACAAUUGAUUGUUAUCAUUUAUGUUAAACCAAUAAAAAUGUUAUUCACAAAAAAAAAGAAAGAAAUAUGGGGCACAUGAACAGG